rnacentral:lncRNA from 1 species
ACUUUAUUUCUCCUUUCCUUUUGCUGAAGCAUCCGUUGGUUGGCAUUCUCCGAGGUCUGUGAGUUUGCUGUAAUUUCUGCAUNGCCCUCGAGAUGAUCAAAGGACCGUUCUUUCUCUUCCACCACUGGUAUAAUGUCACUGUCACUUUCUCCUUUCUUGGCACCACAUACCCAUAACACCAAAGCUUUUCGGUCCCCAUAUCGUUAUCUUUUGUCCUCCUAUUAUAAGUGUUCGUAAUCCUUGAUGCCGUUUGUGUAUCGUUGUUUUCUUUCACUGUGUCCAUUGACAAUUUCUCCAAGUUCACCAUACUGAACUCCCCUUCCUUAGACAGCAUUUCCUCUUCUCGUUCAACUGCAAUCCCUGUGUCUACUUCAGUUCGGUUGACCCCCACAAAGUCAACCCUGUCAUCGUUUUCAUUGUAUCCCGCUUCCAUCCUCACCUGAGAAUCACAAUGUUCAUCUCCUCCCUACUUUGCAUGUUCUGUAAUUGGUGGUAGUUCCUCAUGAGUCAAUCCCGGUGCGUGUAUUUCACCGGUUUGAUCCUCAUCCAACUCAACCCCACACUUGUGACAACAUACCAAUUUCAUGGGCUCCAUUUCAAACCCGCUUCCAACCAGUCUAAGUAAUUCAUCCAGUGCUCCUUUCAACUCCUGCGCACGGGUCAUUAUCUCAACCCUAUUCAGACAAAUGUUGUGACCUUCGUUAUCUCCGACUUUAUUUCUCCCUUCCUUUUGCUGAAACAUCCCUUGGUUAGCAUUCUCCGAGGUCUGUGAGUUUGCUGUAAUUUCUGCAUAAGUCAUCCUCUGUCUGUUUCGUUCAAUCACCAUUUGUCUUUUGGCCUUAUCCCUAGCAACAAAUGAGUCAACAACUGCUUGAAACACCUGCAAGACCGACGCCCAUCCCUCUCCAUUUGCACCUUCUGGUAUCAUGACAACUCCUUUCCGACGCCUCUCCCCAUAUUGUGCUAUCAUUAAAUAUCUGCCUCGAUGGUUACCGUUGUGCCAAGAAAGCUCUUGAAGACUCAUUGAACUUAAAAACACAUUCCUCAACUUCACUUCUCUUCCUCAAUCUGUCUACCAUAUUCACCAUCCAAAUAGCACCAUACCUUCCCAUAAAGAUUGAAUCCGAUAACUUCGAACCCCAUUCUGUCAACUUAACAGUGCCAGAAUCGUUAAUAGAUACUGCGAAAUCCUUCGCCUCCACUCUGAAACGAUGAUUGAAUACCAAACUACGCACAUCCGCCAACUUUUUCCCUUGAUUGUGUA